rnacentral:tRNA from 1 species
GCGGGAGUCGCCCAGCAUGGCCAACGGCGUUGGAUUGAGGUUCCAAUCCCUUAGGGGUUCGUGGGUUCGAAUCCCACCUCCCGCACCA